UACGUAGGUGGCAAGCGUUGUCCGGAUUUACUGGGCGUAAAGAGCGCGCGAGCGGUCGUUCAAGUCGCGUGUGAAAGCCCCCCGGCUCAACUGGGGAGGGUCACGCGAUACUGAUCGACUCGAAGGCAGGAGAGGGAAGUGGAAUUCCCGGUGUAGUGGUGAAAUGCGUAGAUAUCGGGAGGAACACCAGUGGCGAAGGCGACUUCUCGCCUGUUCUUGACACUCAGGAGCGAAGCGAUGGGAGGCAGACGGG
rnacentral:rRNA from 1 species